GACGAACGCUGGCGGCGUGCUUAACACAUGCAAGUCGAACGGAAAGGCCCUGCUUUUGUGGGGUGCUCGAGUGGCGAACGGGUGAGUAACACGUGAGUAACCUGCCCUUGACUUUGGGAUAACUUCAGGAAACUGGGGCUAAUACCGGAUAGGAGCUCCUGCUGCAUGGUGGGGGUUGGAAAGUUUCGGCGGUUGGGGAUGGACUCGCGGCUUAUCAGCUUGUUGGUGGGGUAGUGGCUUACCAAGGCUUUGACGGGUAGCCGGCCUGAGAGGGUGACCGGGCACAUUGGGACUGAGAUAGGGCCCAGACUCCUACGGGAGGCAGCAGUGGGGAAUAUUGCACAAUGGGCGGAAGCCUGAUGCAGCAACGCCGCGUGCGGGAUGACGGCCUUCGGGUUGUAAACCGCUUUCGCCUGUGACGAAGCGUGAGUGACGGUAAUGGGUAAAGAAGCACCGGCUAACUACGUG
rnacentral:rRNA from 1 species